rnacentral:rRNA from 1 species
UACGGGGGGGGCAAGCGUUGUUCGGAAUUACUGGGCGUAAAGGGUUCGUAGGUGGCCAACUAAGUCGGACGUGAAAUCCCUCGGCUUAACCGGGGAACUGCGUCCGAUACUGGUUGGCUUGAGUUUGGGAGAGGGAUGCGGAAUUCCAGGUGUAGCGGUGAAAUGCGUAGAUAUCUGGAGGAACACCGGUGGCGAAGGCGGCAUCCUGGACCAACACUGACGCUGAGGAGCGAAAGCCAGGGGAGCAAACGGG